GUGCUCGCUUCAGCAGCACAUAUACUAAAAUUGGAGUGAUGCAGAGAAGAUCAGCACGGCCCCUGUGCAAGGGUGACAUGCAAAUUCGUGAAGCUUCCACAUUUUUC